AAAAAGGGUGCUUGCCUUUGUACGCUUGUAUGGCACAUCUGUGCGGUGCCGUGCUGGUUGAGUCCAGCGCGGUGCCCGUACCGGUGGGGUAUGGCUAUCAAGACAUAUCCAGCAUGUAAUUUUUGUCCCUCGGAAGGCUGUUGAUUCGCAUUACUUAGCGUCGACGCCUUC
rnacentral:snRNA from 1 species